rnacentral:lncRNA from 1 species
UCCAAAACAAAACCUUUCCCUCCCUAAAAUUCUCUCAAGAUCACCAUUGAAGAAGAAAAAAAGGAGGCAGAAUCUAGGACUAAUUUCACCAAGGUUUCUAGAUAAGGUUAAGGCUUUGAUUAAAGGUAUGUGAAUAUUGUUCAUCCAUGUAUUCUUCAAUCCAUGGAGGCCCCAUAGUUUCCCUCAAUUGUGAAUCCAAGAUACCCCAAUUUAGCUAGGGUUGUGAUUACAUUGUGGGUAAGACUUGUUUGUGAUCCUUAUUUAGUGGGUGAAUUCAACUAUAUUUUUAUGAUGAUUAUAUAAUGUUUUCAUGUGGCUUUAUUGAUUAAUUUUAAUCUAUGAUGAUGAAGGUGAUCAUGGUGGGUUUAAGCCAUUAGAGGGAAAGAGAAGGUUUAAAGUUAAUUUUCUUAAUUCAAUCGUCUUGAAUACUAAUUGAUCGUAGCUACGAUCAUCUAGAUAUGAAUUGAAUUAGGCCUAAUUGAAUAAGAAGGAUCUUGACUUGUAAAGUCAGAAUUGAACCUAUAUGAUCAAGCAUGACUAGAAUUACCUUCUAAUGAUCAAAGUGAUUGAAAUAGUUUGUAAUUAGAAAUGGGUCAUAAUAGAAUGAAACUAGCAUUGAAGAUAGUGCUUGUAGCCAUUAUUGUUAGGAUUGUGAUGAGUUAUUCUCCUUCUCAUAUACACUUAGAUGAACAAGCUAGGAGAAGCAAGUUCUCUCACAUAGAUGAAUUCUAGGUUGACCUAAGACCCUAAAAUGAAUAAAAGCAUGAUAGACUAGAAUAGCUUGAUCUUGGAUUAGACAGAGAUAGAAUAGUUAGAAGUUGAGUCUCGUAGCUCCUUUAUGGAUAGUUGAAUUAUGUAGCUUGUAAUGGUAGAUCACAUGGUAGCUUGAGAUGGUAAAUCUUAUGGUAGCUUGGGAUGGUGAAUCUCAUGGUAGCUUGGGUUGAAGGAAUUAAGCUCUCCCAUGGUUAGCUUGAUCUUGGAUUGAUAGAAUUCUUGUUAAUGGUUGCUUGCAUUAGUAUUAGGCAAGGUAGCCUAUGAUAGAGGAUCGAUACUCUCCUAGGGAUAGCUCGAAGUAGCAUGACUAGAAUUUCUUCAUGAUAGCUUGAUUUGGUUAGUCCAACACCACUUCAUGGUAUCUUAGGAUUGAGACAUGUAGCUCUCCAAGGAAUGACUUAUGAUCCCUUAUAGUUAGCUUGCAUCUACAUGAAUAGUUGCAUGAUGGCUAGGUUGGUAUUCUUAUAUCCUUCAUUUGUUAGCUCGGAUUGUAUGUUAUGAUGCUUUCCAUGGUAGUAGGUCUGUUAUGUUAGUAUGCUAAUCUUAAUAAACUAGAAUGAAAGAUAAGUUAGCUUGGAUUGGUUAUCCUAAAAAAGUACUUAGUAUAAAUGAUAAAAUGGGAUGUCAUUCAUACCUGACACAAGUAUGACUUGAAGCUACCUAUGAAAUGACCUCUUAUAUGAUGUAUGCUUAGCUUGGAUAGUAGUUAUAGUUGCCUUCCAUGUCAUGAUUGAUUUAGGGUGAUAGUUCCUUGUCAAUAUGAAGUAGGUCUAUUAGUGACACCUUAAGAUGGUUAAUAUGAAUAGGGUGAUUUCGAGAUAUGUUUAGUGUGUGAGGUAUAAUGAGAUGCCUCACAUGCAUUGCACAAGUGUGUAUUGAAGUAACCUAGGGGUAUAGUACUCUUACGUUAUGAUAGGUCUUAAUUAUGAAAGUGGAUUAUAAUCAAGAAUGACCAAACAAAGGUACUUAGCUUAGGUAGUAGUAUGGGAGGCUACCUUGACCUUGCACAAGUAUACUUGGAGGUGGCUUGUGAUGCAAUUCACUUGAAUAAGAAGGACAAAUGGUUGAAGUAUGAUUUAUGUAUGCCUUAUGAUGAAUUACUAUGCUUAUGGUAUUCAUGUUAUGUUUAUGCUAUUAUAUCUUAUGAUCAUGUCUAUUAUUGACUAAUCCUUUGAGAUGUCUUAUAUUUUAUAUGUUAGCUUUCAUACUUGGUACAUUUUUGUAUUAACACAUAUUGCCUACAUUUCUAACAAAAUGUAGCGGCUUUUAGUAGAUUGAGUGCUUGGAGGCUAGGUUCCUAAGUUUGGAGAAGAUUUAAGAUUGGUGAGUCCUCGUAGCAUUAAUUGAAGAUUCGUGAGUCCUCAUAGCAUUCAAGGACAACAGCCUUAUGUUUCGUUUAUGUUAUUUACUAUGUUUUAGACUUUUGUGGGUUGCGUCCCAAGACAUGAUUACUCAUGUAUUUCGUAGAUGAUUUUGAGACAUAUGUUAGAAAGACUUCUAUUAUUAUGAAAUGAUUCCAUAUUAUGUUUAAAAGAAAAGUUUUUAAUUCCCUCC